GACAGAGGUGCCAAGCGUUAGGCGGAAUCACUGGGCUUAAAGCGUGUGUAGGCGGAUCGUUAAGUGCCUUGUGAAAUCCCACGGCUUAACUGUGGAACGGCUGGGCAUACUGGCGGUCUUGAGCCAUCUAGGGGCGACUGGAACAAACGGUGGAGCGGUGAAAUGCGUAGAUAUCGUUUGGAACGCCAAUGGUGAAAACAGGUCGCUGGGGAUGCGCUGACGCUGAGACACGAAAGCCAGGGGAGCAAACGGG
rnacentral:rRNA from 1 species